CCUAGUUUAAAAAUUGGAAAAUAGCUUAAUCUGAUUCACAUAGAAGACCUUUGUAGCAGGUAAACAAGUGCAUGCAUGAAGCAAGUGAAGAUGAGUCAGCUGAGCUAAGCAUCAGAGGUGAGAAGGAGGCCAAGGAAAGAAGGAAUGGGCAGAGACAAGAAAGCUACUCUGAAAACUAGAGAGUACCCAGUUGAGGCAGAAAUGUGGGCAUGAAGGAUUAAAUACACAAGGUGAAGUGUGCAAAAAGGAGGCUCAGAACUUCUGCUGCCAUUUAUGCACCAAGAGAGUGGCUUCUGGCAAAGCUCAUACAUGGAAGAGUCCAGAGACCACAGGCUACAGAGAAA